GCUAUCUUGGCAGAUUAAAUGCGUUAAAUUUAGAAUUUAUAUAUGUAAUGUAUAAAUUACAGAUAGUA
rnacentral:tRNA from 1 species